rnacentral:lncRNA from 1 species
GGGAACCUGACGCCUGGGCGGUGGGUCUGGACGCCCGGGCGACGACGGCGCUGUCCUAAAAAUUCUGAUCCGUAGCUCAAGUGGGCCCCGCCCAUUUUCACCUCUUUUACCUUCAAGGGUUUCGCCCAAGCCUUCACUCUCAGAUUUCCCUUAAUCUAGCCCUCCAAACACUUCCCCAAAGUACUUUCUUCACUCUUCCCUUCUCCUACUUCACCAAACCCUAAGUGUCCAUCUCUUGUGAAGCCAAAUCUGGGUUUUGAAAAGAUUGAUCUUGCUUUCUAUCUAAUUAAUUAUGUGCUUCCAUC